UCCAGUCAGUAAAAUAGUUGGCACCCACUCCUUAGAAAAUAUCCAAACCCUCAAAACUUGUCAGUACCAGUUUCCAAAAACCAACAGCCUUUCAAAAUCAAAACCAUUUGCUAUUCAUUCCUCUCCCUAAAGCCUACCUCUUCCUCUUUUGUCAAUCUAAUUCCCUCCUUCUCCUCCCCCAUAAUCUAUCAUCAACGACUAUCAGCACACUUCCAAUUAGGUAACUCUCUCUUCUAUUCUAUAAGCAAUCUGUGGCUAAACUAUGUGCUAGGGUAUUAGCAGAUCUGGGUAUGUGUUUGAACUUGAUACUAUGAAAACUCAUUUUCAACUGUUGUAUGUCCCAAAUAAUCGCCUCUAUCUCCAAUUUAUCUCGGAUGUCCGAUUGACUUUUUUUAAUAAUGGUUCUUGCAUCUCUUUCUAUGGUAACUGAUGAAAGGCCCAAAUGGUUUGCCAAAAGCAACGCUUGAAGGCACGCAUAUCCUUUCAUUGCAAACAGCGAAGCAAUCUUCUUGUGUAGUGUAUGUUUCGAAGCCAAAAUCUAACCUCGAGGUUUACAAACAACCACUCCAGGUCCAGAUCUCACCAAACUUUGAUUAUAAGCUGCAUCAAAAUUAACUUUGACAUCAGAACCUAAUGGCGCACACCAUUCCUCAUUAACAACAUAUCUUGUAAACUUCUUAUCUUUUAAACUGUCAAUCUCUCCAAUAGAUCUUGUUAUCCAAUCCGAUAUUUCUUUUCCUUUAAUCUGACUCCCCUCAUGCAGGACUAGAUUUCUAUUUGUCCAAAUUCCAUAGAUUGCACAACAAAAUAAUCUGCACUGGCCACUGGAACUCAUUCGAAAAAUCCAGGUAAACCAAUCUUCGUCGUUCAUAUCAAAAUUAGAAAAAAUCCAGUUUAGAUUUAAAUAAUCCCAAACUUCUAUUGAUAUAGGACAUUCUUUGGAAACAUGAUACAGGGACUCUAUUGCUCCACGACACCUGGACACAAGAUAUCUCCUCUAAUCCUUCUGUGUUGGAGAUUAACAAAAGUAGGCAGGAAAUUCCAAGUGGUUUUCCACAAAUAAAUUUUUACUUUUGAAGGGAUUUUUAGAUACCAUAGUUUUUUGUAUAGCUCCCAAGACUCAUAAUGUCUAUAAUUAGGGUUAAAAGUACCUUUAUGUAAUAGUUUAUAGGUGCUUCAGAUAGAAAAUUCCCUAAAAGAUUCCCCCUCCAAACCCAUAUAUCUUCAAUCCCUUCCCAAGCAAAGGAGUUCAUAAGAUUUUCAACGCAAUCUCAUCAGAAAAGGUACUGUUAAUUAGAUUUACUUUCUAUUCCUAGUAUCUACAUCAAUGAAAUCAAAAACUAAGAUUAACCUCCAGUAUUAACUUGUUCAUUAAUUUUGUAG
rnacentral:lncRNA from 1 species